ACCACAUGGAACUCACCGAGAUAAAUCACAUGCCUGUGUUUCCCCUUUCACUUCAACAUGGCUUUUCAAACGUACGGACUGUUUUGUUUUUACGAAGUGACCUUACUUCUUCUGGUUUCUCUCUGUGGCCUCGGUGAGGGCCAGUUCAAGGGGUUUCGGAAAUUUCAUCAAGGUCAGGUUGCUGUCCGGGGUCCUGUGUUUGAGGAGCAAUGGUUCACUCAGAAACUGGAUCACUUCAAUGGUGCAGACAGCCGAGUCUGGAAACAAAGGUACUUUGUGAAUGAGGCCUUCUCUAAGCCGGGCGGCCCUGUGUUUCUGAUGAUAGGUGGAGAGGGUCCGGCCAACGCAGCAUGGAUGCAGAACGGCACCUGGCUCUCCUACGCCCAGAAACUGGGAGCACUCUGCCUGAUGCUGGAGCACCGCUUUUAUGGCAAGAGUCACCCCACCGAGGACCUGAGCACAGAUAACCUGCGCUUCCUCAGCAGCCGCCAGGCGCUGGCUGACCUGGCUCACUUCCGAACCGUCAUGGCGGAUGCCCUGGCGCUCACCAAGAGGAAGUGGGUGGCAUUCGGCGGCUCGUACCCGGGUUCUCUUGCGGCUUGGUUCAGGCUCAAGUACCCUCACCUGGUCCAUGCUUCUGUGGCCACCAGUGCACCAGUUCAUGCUACAGUCAACUUCCCAGAGUAUUUGGAGGUGGUGUGGCGUUCGCUGGCCUCAGAGAACCCAGAGUGCCCCUUACUGGUGAAAAAGGCUUCAGACACCCUUCUGGAGCGCCUCAAAGACCCGAAGACCUAUGACAAUAUCACCAACGAUUUCAAUCUGUGUUCCAAGUUGCAGAUCCAGACAGAAAUGGACUCUGCCUACCUCCUGGAGAUGCUGGCUGGCAACUUCAUGGAUGUAGUCCAGUACAAUCAAGACAACAGGGAGUUUGAGGGUGUGGUGGGCACCAACAUCACAAUCAAGGUGCUGUGUAGCGUGAUGAGUGACGCCUCACUGGGGGAGCCAUACGCCCGCUAUGCUCGCGUGGCCCGCCUCAUGAUGGACACCUUCUCCAUGAAGUGCCUGGAUGCCAGCUACACCAACUAUCUGAGAGAUAUGACCAACACAUCCUGGGACGGGCCAGCCGCUGGGGGAGGGAGACAGUGGGUUUACCAGACCUGCACUGAAUUUGGAUUCUACCAGAGCACUGAUUCACCCAACCAGCCAUUUAAAGGCUUCCCUCUCCCGACAGCGCAUUCCCUCUGGAAAGACACACCACUAUUCAGCUCUCUGCCAGUAAAAACCAACAGAGACAAAGACCAACAGUGCAGCAGACCUCUUAUCAAGAGGCAGUCCUCACACCACAGAGUGGAACCUUCACCCUCCUGUGGUAUCAGAUCAAACAGUGUGCAGACUUCUACAGUGUCAGUGCUGAGACACUGGCAGAGGCCGUGGCCCAGACUAAUGAGUGCUAUGGCGGCUAUGACAUUCACUCCACCAGAAUAGUUUUCCCCAACGGGUCCAUUGACCCUUGGCACGCCCUGGGAAUCACUCAUGACAUCACACCUGACCUUCCUGCUGUCUUCAUCAAAGGAACAGCCCACUGUGCCAACAUGUACCCUGCUAGGAGCCAGGAUCCUCCCCAACUGGCUCUGGCCCGGGACCACGUCUUCUUACUCCUCCAGCAAUGGCUGAAACAAUGACAGUUGGCUGAACUGGCCAAACAGUGGCACUGACACACAAAACGAUUAGUCUUUUUGUCCAAUUAGUCACAUUGGAAUGUGACCUAUUAUUUUACUGCCAUUGAUGUGGCACCUUGAUAAGGCACUUUAUUUGUGUUUAUGGCAGUACUUCUAAAGUUCUAAGUCCAUUUUUAUGUGUGAGGCAAUUUUGAACUGAUUAAAGGUGGAUUUUUUUUUAAUAUGAA